UCGAACGAUGAAGCCCUUUCGGGGGUGGAUUAGUGGCGAACGGGUGAGUAACACGUGGGCAAUCUGCCCUGCACUUCGGGACAAGCCCUGGAAACGGGGUCUAAUACCGGAUACGACCGYCGGGCGCAUGCUCGGUGGUGGAAAGCUUCGGCGGUGCAGGAUGAGCCCGCGGCCUAUCAGCUUGUUGGUGGGGUGAUGGCCUACCAAGGCGACGACGGGUAGCCGGCCUGAGAGGGCGACCGGCCACACUGGGACUGAGACACGGCCCAGACUCCUACGGGAGGCAGCAGUGGGGAAUAUUGCACAAUGGGCGGAAGCCUGAUGCAGCGACGCCGCGUGAGGGAUGACGGCCUUCGGGUUGUAAACCUCUUUCAGCAGGGAAGAAGCUUUUGUGACGGUACCUGCAGAAGAAGCACCGGCUAACUACGUGCCAGCAGCCGCGGUAAUACGUAGGGUGCGAGCGUUGUCCGGAAUUAUUGGGCGUAAAGAGCUCGUAGGCGGCGUGUCACGUCGGAUGUGAAAGCCCGGGGCUUAACCCCGGGUCUGCAUUCGAUACGGGCAGGCUAGAGUUCGGUAGGGGAGAUCGGAAUUCCUGGUGUAGCGGUGAAAUGCGCAGAUAUCAGGAGGAACACCGGUGGCGAAGGCGGAUCUCUGGGCCGAUACUGACGCUGAGGAGCGAAAGCAUGGGGAGCGAACAGGAUUA
rnacentral:rRNA from 1 species